CAGUCGCCACGGGAAUACGAAGGGGGCUAGCGUUGUUCGGAUUUACUGGGCGUAAAGGGCGCGUAGGCGGACUGAUAAGUCAGGGGUGAAAUCCCAAGGCUCAACCUUGGAACUGCCUUUGAUACUGUUUGUCUUGAGUUCGAGAGAGGUAAGUGGAACUGCGAGUGUAGAGGUGAAAUUCGUAGAUAUUCGCAAGAACACCAGUGGCGAAGGCGGCUUACUGGCUCGAUACUGACGCUGAGGCGCGAAAGCGUGGGGAGCAAACAGGAUUAGAUACCCGAGUAGUCCCUGUCUCUUAUAC
rnacentral:rRNA from 1 species